GUGUCAUUUUUAUCUCCCGCACGGCCGCACCUACCGCUCUCUCUCGUAUCCUCGGUUCCCCAAUACGCCGCCGCCGCUCGCCGACGUCCGCCGCCGCUCGCCGACGUCCAACGCAGGCCGCAUCCGCCGCCGCCUCCACGCAGAGCUUCUUCUUGGUGCCCUCCACUGGAUCCCUACCCGCACCCCGCCUUUCCGCCCCUGAGCGCGACGCUGCGCCUAAUCCUAGCCGUCGGGUUCGUCACUGUCGCCGCCACGGUACCGCGACGCCGCUCUGCCCUCGCACGACGUCCUCCUCCCCAGAAUCCGUCGUCGGCCGAUGUGUGGCGAAGCGGCAGCAGCAGACGCCGAGGCGGCGUGGCACCCGCGCUCGCCGGCGCCGCACGACCUCUCCGACGAAUCCGACUACGCCGCCGCCACCUCCGUCUCCUCCUCCAUCCACGCGGUACGCGCCCGCCCGCUUCCUCUUCCUCUCCCAUCUCCGAUCAGUCGCACGGCUCGAGUCGACCCUGGCGCGAUUUGGGCCAACCUGCUUCAGCUCCUGCUCAAUCGUGCGCUUCAAUCCUAGCGCGAUUUGGGUCCAGCGCCAACGGAUCGCUCGAGGUGCAGUCUUGGCAACCUGGGGGUUCCUUGGACAGCGGACAGAAAUGGAGCCAGAUCGAGUGGUUGAGCUCCGUGUGAGGCAAUUAUAUGCUACUAAGUGGCUCAAGGAAAAUCUUGUGUAUGGUGCGGCUGACCAAAUUCAGAGACAAAUAGGCUAGUGGGACUAGCUCACCUCAGUGUAUGUGGCACCAGGGGACGAAUUGGUGGAUAUUGCAGGUGCUUCGACUGAAGUUGCCUGGAGGCACCCCCAAACUCAUCCGUGGACCUUCAGGACAAUGGUAGCAGCAAGACUGAACGAAAAAGCUCAAGAAGCCUCACAAGAAUUGUCACCCGGCUAGACGGCUGGUGUCAUCUUGGAAAUACCUUCUUUUAAGAUCAUCUCUCUGCUUGAGCGUGAUCUUCCAGUAUCAGGUACCACACCUAUUCAUUCAUGGCCUUGUUGUGCGCUUCAUAUAGCCAACCACUUGAAUUCUUCAUCAUCCUAUCUGUUCCUGGAUUUUCCUUUGUAGCUUUUGGUACCCAUGGGUUUUUUUUUUGUAAGACGCCAGACUUGUUUUACCCGAACUAUGAUGAGCACUCAAAACAGUCAGAGUCAACUUUGACAGACUUAACACAAACAUCAGCUCCCAGAAACAUGGACAGAAGCACCAAGACGAACCAACCCACAAUAUGAGCACCUUAUAGCACAUAAGCAAUGAGAAUUCACCACCAGGAAAACAACAUACGAUUACGAACUUAGAAGCUGAUAACACAAUUCAAGAAAUUCAUAUCAUCAACCAAACAGGAUAUAGAAAAAUUAUACCAAUGAAUAUGAGAUACAGUUAUUCAUGACGGAAAAAAUGCCCUUUUUAUAGCCAAAGAUGAAUCAAGUAUUGUUUAACAGGCGUUGUUCAUCAGCAGUGAAAGGCCUUCUGGAAGUUGUUUCUAGAUUAUUAGUAUAACAAUGUUUUUGCAAUAGUAUAUGAGUAAUUUAGUAAUUUCGGUUUUAUUAAUUCAUGGAUGAUAAAAUCUAUGGAAGAAAGCAUAGUGAAUUCAGAGUUAAUUUCGUUUCACCAGAGCUGAUGCUUUACUUAACCCAAGUCAGGCCCAAAGAAGCUCUAGCUUCUACGAAUUUUUAAACUUGAUUUAGGACUGCAAUGUGCACAUUCUUCAGUGUUUCGUGGAAAUUCAGGCAUCCAACUCAGAGAAUAGGGCCAGAUGAAUGUAAAUUUUCCAAACGGGUAUUAAGUUAUGACUACUAAAAACCAUGCAAGUGCCAUGUAAAAUGAUUAUGAAUUGAAAGCACGCUAUAUGCAACAACUUUGAUGUUUUAUGUCUUCUUGAUAUAUGAUACAUACUUUGGAAACUUCCUUCAAACCCUGAAUACCUGCAUUUGCCUUCCUUCUGGGUUCAGAAGCAUGAAGAGGAGGCAAUCUAUGUGCACAGCCCACAAGCGUAUAAGGAUAUCUUCUCUGGUAAUGGCAGUCGCGACGUGCCAGGGCCCUCCUCCAGGAGAGCACGAACCACACCAACCCCAGCCUUCCUCUCAAGAGCCAUGAAAUCAUUGUUCUAUCAUCCGACAAUAAGGAUGAUGACAACAAGCGAUGAUCAUUUAACUGUGACUCUCUGUAUGAGUCUAAAAGCUCAAGUAUCAUAAGGGGUUUACUGACUAACUGUGACUUGAUACUUCAAUUUGACCAGUUGGGCAUGCCAUAUGGGAGUACUACUCAGCCAUACUCACAGCACACACUGAGUUGCCCCCGGCGCAUUUAGUGAUGAGAUAUGGGCACUGUUUUGAAUAUUUGCAGUAAAGUAGGAUAUGUGCAUGCUUGAUGAUUCUGAUCCUUCUCUUCUUCAGGUGGAAUGCAGUUGAGGUCGAAGAAUGCCGUUGGAGAGACCAGAGGUUGCCGUGGUGGUGCUUGCCGGAGAUCACGGCGAGAUGCUCUGCUGGGAGAGGAGACCUCGCCGGCGAGGUUGGGGACGAGCUGCUGGUUAAAGAUCAUGUAAUGAUUUUGUAAUUUAGAUGCUACUUGCAAAUGUUGGUUCCAUAUCCUAUAAUUUAGAUGCCUGGCUACAAUUUUAAUGCAUGAUCAUGUUACUGUGUUUGAUUAAAAUACCAGGCAAUAUGAUAACUGCAUAUAUUUGUGCAAGUACUA